GACUCAAUGGUCUAAUGAUAAAGCGUUCAUCAUAGAGCCAGAAGGUCCUGGGUUCGAUAUCCAAUUGGGUCA
rnacentral:tRNA from 1 species